GACUUCCGGGCCUUACUUAAGGUAUAAAUAGGGCCGCGUCGGCGCAGGCCUGUCUCUUUAGGCGUCCCUCUCUGGGUGAGCUUGUUCUCGAACCGAUCCGUGAUUCCAGACACCUUGUUUAUGGAGGAAAGAAGAGGACCUGCAUGGGCACCUACUGAAUAUUUAACUAUGUCCAACAUGGUGAAAUUUUGUCUGUAUUAGGGCCUCAGCCAUUAGAAGCUGGGAAACCUUUUCUGCCUACUUAGCUGUUUGGUAAAUCAGUUUUUUUCACAGGUAAUGCCUAGAUUUGAGGACCUUCAGCAUGGUUCUUUUUUUUUUGAAGUUCAGGUUUCCCCCCCCCAGACCGUAUUAUAUGACCCACUUUUUUUUUUUGUUCCCCAGUUCUCUAUAAGAUUAUGGUUGUAAGUUCAAAUCUGAAUUAAAGCAUUUGAAUGUCU
ensembl:processed_transcript